CGUGGAUUGAUUUGUCUGCUUAAUUGCGAUAACGAACGAGACCGCAACCUCUAAAUAGUUGUCUGAUAAUUACGUCAGUUCAGCUUCUUAGUGGGAUAAGUGACUUUAAGUCACACGAUAAGCGGCAAUAACAGGUCUGUGAUGCCCCUCGAUGUCCGGGGCCGCACGCGCGCUACACUGGUAAGAUCAGCGCGCUUUCCUUGGCCGAAAGGCCUUGGAAAACUUUUGAAAACUUACCAUGAUUGGGAUCGGGCAUUGUAACUAUUGCCCGUCAACGAGGAAUUCCCAGUAAAUUUGAGUCAUUAGCUCAAGUUGAAUACGUCCCUGCCCUUUGUAC
rnacentral:rRNA from 1 species